CUGGGGAUGGUGACAGACGUUGCAAAGAGCAGUUUCCAGACACCGCACCCCCGGCCCAGUUGGAUACUUUGUCUGGGAAGCCUCUUUGUGGGGACAGCUGUCCAGUGAAUUUCUAGAACGUCCUGGAGCAGAGACAUCGUGC